rnacentral:tRNA from 1 species
GCAUCCUUCGCUCAGCGGGAUAGGAAUACGCGGCUGGGAACCGAGCGGUCGGUGGUUCCAAUCCUCCAGGAUGCA